GUGAGGAAUUUUCCGCAAUGGGCGAAAGCCUGACGGAGCAAUGCCGCGUGAAGGAUGAAGGCCUAUGGGUUGUAAACUUCUUUUCUCAGAAAAGAAUUAUGACGGUAUCUGAGGAAUAAGCAUCGGCUAACUCUGUGCCAGCAGCCGCGGUAAGACAGAGGAUGCAAGCGUUAUCCGGAAUGAUUGGGCGUAAAGCGUCUGUAGGUUGUUUAAAAAGUAUUCUGUCAAAGAUUAGGGCUUAACCCUAGAUAGGCAGAAUAAACUUUUAAGCUAGAGUUUGGUAGAGGCAGAGGGAAUUCCCGGUGGAGCGGUGAAAUGCGUAGAUAUCGGGAGGAACACCAAAGGCGAAGGCACUCUGCUGGACCAAUACUAACACUGAGAGACGAAAGCGAGGGGAGCAAAUGGGAUUAGAUACCCUGAGUAGUCC
rnacentral:rRNA from 1 species